GAUGAACGCUAGCGGGAGGCUUAAUACAUGCAAGUCGAGGGAGAAAUUUGACUUCGGUCAAACGGAAACCGGCGAACGGGUGAGUAACGCGUACACAACCUACCUUUAACUGGGGGAUAGCCUUGGGAAACUGAGAUUAAUACCCCAUAAUAUUGAUCGAUUGCAUAUGAAGUCAAUUAAAGUUCCGGCGGUUAAAGAUGGGUGUGCGUUCCAUUAGCUAGUUGGUGAGGUAACGGCUCACAAAGGCGACGAUGGAUAGGGGGCGUGAGAGCGUGAUCCCCCACACGGGUACUGAGACACGGACCCGACUCCUACGGGAGGCAGCAGUAAGGAAUAUUGGACAAUGGGCGCAAGCCUGAUCCAGCCAUCCCGCGUGCAGGAAGACGGCCCUACGGGUUGUAAACUGCUUUUGUAAGGGAAGAAACCCCUCGAUUUAUCGGGGGCUGACGGUACCUUAAGAAUAAGCACCGGCUAACUCCG
rnacentral:rRNA from 1 species